CUCUUAUCCAGAGCGACCGAGGGAAAGGCCCGAUGACGUCCAGCAACCCCUUGUAAUCAAGGAAGGUGCCAAGUCCUACAGAGUGUAAUUCCAUUCUGAGAGAUAAGCU
rnacentral:ncRNA from 2 species